UAUAAAUUGAACUUUAUCAUCGGUGAGCAUAUAUAGGAAAAAAACCAUAGGGAUCAGUAUUAUCUGUCGUUUCAGGCAUCCACUGGGGUCUUGAAAUGUGUCCGCCUUGUAUACAUAUCACUGUAUUUGAUAAGAGACAUUUGAAAAAAUUCCUGAAGAACAUGACGAAGUGAGUUAAAGUGUGUGAGGGAGAAGGAACAGAGAGUGUGAAGGCCCUGAGGCAGACUCCUGUCCAACUUGUUUAAAGAAAGAUAAAUAUUUCAUCAAACACAUAUGAAGCCCUUAUUCUGUGUCAGACCCCGGAGAUUCACAAAUGAAAAGUGGCCGCUAUCCUCAAGUCAUCUCCAUUUUGGUG
rnacentral:lncRNA from 1 species